GAUGAGCUUAGUGGUGUGUGUAUGAGGCGAAUGAUUCUAAGACUUAGUCAGAUACCAGGCAGUAAUAGACAACUCUGAAGUUUAUCCCAUCAUUAAGUUAUAUUGAAGUUAGUCUCUUAAAGAAGUACAGACAACCUCACAAGACCCCCAUUCCGUCUUAUGUGAUCUCCCAGUCAGCAAAUAGGAGGGAGUGUUUGCCAGACUUACCCCAGCCUCAGGUCAGCAUCUUAAAUAUUAAGUGUCCCCUGGAGUUUUCAUUGUCGAGGCACAAGCCUCUGUCCCUGCCCUGCAACCUCCUCUCUCCUUGCAGCCCAACCGAGGAACUGGGAGCUCAACUGCCUCAGUCUUUGGUCAGGAUUCGUGACCCUAACAUUUUUCUUGGGGCGAAAAAAGCCCACAUCCCUCUGUCAGUCAAGCGGCUGAGCAUAGUUUUAGCUGGGCGGCCAUCCAAACAGACAUGAAAACUAUUCUAUUUCGGUAUGCCAUAUGAGCCGCAACGCUCUAUUUUGGAGAGACUCUGUGGUCGAGCAUGUAAUUGCCGAGUUCACCAGUUAUGGCGAAAAUCUAAUUGUCAAAUUGGUGGAGAAACUGCCAAGGGAAAAAGGUAAAGGACUUUUAAAGUCCCACAAAAAAAAGGCAUACUACAUAAAUAAAUGAGGAACUAGGAUCCAGAUGUGGGAAAAGAAGGAGGGGGAGAAGAAAAGAUCUAGACUGCAGAACUUGCUAUCGCAGCAGAAUGAAAUCACAUUUCUGCCACGGCAAAAUGGUGUUUACCUUCCUCUGAGAAGUCACAGGAGAAAAAGGGGUUUUGGGAAGCACUUCCCGACGACUCCGGAGCUGCUUCCAGCCCAGACAGAGAGACUGAGAAAGCACGAGGACAGCGGAAAGGCUGCAAAAAAGAACCAAAUGACAGAUGAGGCCUCUAUACUGCCGGAGGGGAAUGGAGUACAGAUCCACAGUUCUGUCUAGUCUCUGUGCUGAUAAAAAGCAUAGAGGAACUUAAAAACGCAAAGGCACAUAUUCAUAAUAAAGCCUUUCAGAGUUGGAGUUCUGAUCUAGGAUCAGUUUAGCCUUUUAGAUUAUAAUCAAUGGACUGGGGGUGGACCUGAUCCUAGAUCAGCACUCCUACUCUGUAGAUGCAUUAUGAAUAUGGGCCCAAGGGCACAUAUUGUUUGUAGCAUCGAUCGUACACGUUUCAGUGACAUUAGACUUCUAAAACAUAUGUAGUCUUCACUGCCAAAGCACCUUUGCCUGGAACCUAAGUGCCUUCAGAAAGUAUUCAUACCUGUUGACUUAUUCCGCAUUUUGUUAUUACAGCCUGAAUUCAAAAUGGAUUAAAUUGAAAACAAUA
rnacentral:lncRNA from 8 species